CGUUGCUCGGAUUCAUUGGGCGUAAAGGGUGCGUAGGUGGCGCCGUAAGUCGGGUGUGAAAUUUCGGAGCUUAACUCCGAAACUGCAUUCGAUACUGCGGUGCUUGAGGACUGGAGAGGAGACUGGAAUUCAUGGUGUAGCAGUGAAAUGCGUAGAGAUCAUGAGGAAGACCAGUGGCGAAGGCGGGUCUCUGGACAGUUCCUGACACUGAGGCACGAAGGCCAGGGGAGCAAACGGG
rnacentral:rRNA from 1 species